GGAGGGUUGGCUGAGUGGCCGAAAGCGCCUCACUGCUAACGAGGUAGGGGCUUUAAAACCCCUCGUGGGUUCGAAUCCCACACCCUCCG
rnacentral:tRNA from 1 species